rnacentral:lncRNA from 1 species
CUCUGCCACCACGCAGAAAUCCUGCUUUCCCUUUUGCUUUCCAUUGUCCAACCCUCCCGGACCAUCCAGGAAGGAGCAGGUAGACUCUCCCAGCUCGUUUCCUGGACGCCUCUCCGUGUCCUAUGGCACCUGCACUCACUGAUAUUUCCCAGAGUGUUCCCAUGGAUGCUUCCAGUCAAAACAACUCAUCUCUGCAUUUGUAGCACACCUGGCCAUGGGUGUGAAGGCAUCUUCUCCAAACUGCCACCGUGACUCAAGCUCGCUGUUACGAAGAUAAGCUUCAAAGAUCAACCACGGUGGGAAUAUAUACUUUAUCUCGUUUCCUUCUUUUGCUAUAACUCAUCCCACCUGCCCGAAGGCUCGGCCAAGGUGCUACCUGCUUCGUGGAGCAACCCAGAGGUCUCGCUCUCCUCCUCCCCCAGCAUGGGGAACAUCCGAAGCUGCUGCAUCUCCUGGGCCAGGAGGAUCUUCUGCUGUAGAAGCGUGGAUGAAGGCAAAGCCUACGAUCUCACUCACGUGGAGGUGGGAGCAGUGACUAGACAAGACAGACAGCCCAGCUCCAGAGGUGAGUU